rnacentral:rRNA from 1 species
AUGGAUCUUUCCAGUUCACUGGCUUCAACCAGUGAUGAAGAGACAAGGGCACUUAAUGCAUUGCUUGAUGCUUUCAGUUGUGCCUUUUCACUUGAAGAUAUAGCCAAUGCAUACUGCAGAGCAAACGGCGAUGUCAACAAAGCUGGGGAUUUCUUGACUGACCUUCAACUUUCGAUGCCCCAGAGUGAUGAAGUUGACUCGAGCGUUGGGACCAAUCUUCCCCAGUUUGGUAAGGCAGUUGAGGAAAAUUCUCUGGACAACUCAAACCAAACAAGGAAUCUUUCCUGUGUCGGGAAAGCAGCUGAAGAAAGCUCUGUGGAGAAUUCAAGCCAAACAAGAACACGUGAGAAGUCACAGAAGUCUAGUGCUUCAUUUGGCACCGUAUCCAGCAUGUUAGGAAAAGGAUCUGCCCGAGCUACUACAGCUCCUGCCAAUACAGCACCAGGAAAAGGAAAACCUAUAAAGGUUGAACUGCCAGAGUACAUGCGAGAUGAUUUGAAAACAGAUGAAUCUGAUUCUGCACCAAAGAGAGAGACUUUGAAUAACAGAGAUGUUGAGGAAUUCCUAUUUUCUAUGCUUGGAGAAGGAUUUAAGCUCAACAUGGAAGUGAUCCGUGAUGUUCUAGGCAGCUGUGGGUACGACAUGAAGAAGAGCAUGGAGGAAUUAAUGUCAUUUUCUACAAAAGAUCUAGGCAAAAGGCCAGAGAAUGAGCAUAUUGCAGUACAAGACACGGCGGUAGAAUCCUCUUUUUCCAUGGGGAGCUGCUUAGGAUCACAAUCCACAUCUAGACCACAGAUUACCCCUGGAGAGUUACUAGAAUCAAUAUUCACUGCACCUGAAAGAUCUGAGGAACCAAAAGUAAGGCGGUAUGAAUUGGGCGCAAAUCGAAGGAGAGUUCCAGAUCAGAAACCAGUCGUAAAACCUCUUGAGGACAUUUCACCACCCUCUACGGAUCUUCCGGUGAAAAUUAUCCUAGGCAGCAAAGAACCAGUUGUUCGUGAUGAGGAUGAUUACCAGAACUAUCGUAAGGCUGCAAAGCAGCACUGGGAUAUGAUGAAGCAGUACUAUGGGAAGGCUGUUGAUGCUUUUAGGGAGGGUAACAAGAAAGAAGCCGAGUAUCUUAUGACAGAAGGAAAGAACUAUUAUAGGAUGGCUCGAUUAUCUGAUGAAAAAUCUGCUGCUGAGAUCACCAAGUCCAAACAAGAGUCCAAAAAUGAGUUAUGCCUUGAUCUGCGCUCACAGGAUGCAGCAAACGUAGCAAAUCUUCUGAGACUUCAUCUUAGGCAGUUGGCUAACAUCCCAUCUUUUGAGAAUUUGAGAGUUAUUAUUGGUGUUGACGAUGGCACUUUCAAGAUGGGACAAAGAAGAAGGAAGGUUGAGAAGUUUCUGGAGAAGAAAUCAGUCGAGUGGACCGAAGAUGAGGCCAAUCCUGGGACCAUUCUCAUUCCGAUUAAUCAAGUGAAAGACCAGCGCUUUCUGUUCAUUUUGGGAUAUGGAGGAUGGGGAGUGUGUUGCAUAUUCCUUUUCGUUCACAUACAGGAGAUAUUUCCGGCCGGCCUAAACAUUACGAUUUGGCCGAGAUGA